rnacentral:rRNA from 1 species
UGGGGAAUCUUGGACAAUGGGCGAAAGCCUGACCCAGCAACGCCGCGUGAAGGAUGAAGUAUUUCGGUAUGUAAACUUCGAAAGAAUAGGAAGAAUAAAUGACGGUACUAUUUAUAAGGUCCGGCUAACUACGUGCCAGCAGCCGCGGUAAUACGUAGGGACCAAGCGUUGUUCGGAUUUACUGGGCGUAAAGGGCGCGUAGGCGGCAAUUCAAGUCAUCUGUGAAAUCUCCGGGCUUAACUCGGAACGGUCAGAUGAUACUGCUUUGCUAGAGUGCAGAAGGGGCAAUCGGAAUUCUUGGUGUAGCGGUGAAAUGCGUAGAUAUCAAGAGGAACACCUGAGGUGAAGACGGGUUGCUGGGCUGACACUGACGCUGAGGUACGAAAGCGUGGGGAGCAAACAGGAUUAGAUACCCAGGUAGUCCCUGAGCGGGCUGGCAAGGCGCAU